rnacentral:rRNA from 1 species
UACGAAGGGGGCUAGCGUUGUUCGGAUUUACUGGGCGUAAAGCGCGCGUAGGCGGAUUGUUAAGUCAGGGGUGAAAUGCCGAGGCUCAACCUCGGAACUGCCUUUGAUACUGGCAAUCUGGAGUUCGGGAGAGGUGAGUGGAAUUCCGAGUGUAGAGGUGAAAUUCGUAGAUAUUCGGAGGAACACCAGAAGCGAAGGCGGCUCACUGGCCCGAUACUGACGCUGAGGCGCGAAAGCGUGGGGAGCAAACAGG